rnacentral:misc_RNA from 1 species
UGUCAACUAAGGUGACAGACGAUAGAACACUUGACAAAAAACAGGGUAGAUUCUUAAAUUGUUGGCUGUUUUUUGUGAACUUCAAUAAAUUAGUUAUUCUGUUGUCUCAGCGUUUCUACGAUAUUUAAAAAUAAUAGCCUGAAAAUGAUGGCGGAGUCAGAUACAACCGUGGAAGCCACAAAAAGAUUAAAUGUUAAAAAGCAAACUUUAGAUGAUGCCUAUGCUGCUCCUGCGAAUUUUUUAGAAAUCGAUGUAGUGAAUCCUGUUACUACAAUUGGAGUUGGAAAGAAGAGGUUUACAGACUAUGAAGUGAGAAUGAGAACAAACUUACCAGUGUUCAAAGUAAAAGAAUCUAGUGUGAGAAGGAGAUACAGUGAUUUUGAAUGGCUUCGAAAUGAACUGGAACGAGACAGUAAAAUCGUGGUGCCUCCUCUACCAGGUAAAGCUUGGAAAAGACAGCUACCCUUUAGAGGUGAUGAUGGAAUUUUUGAAGAAGAUUUCAUAGAAGAUAGAAGGAAGGGUUUAGAAGUAUUCAUUAAUAAAAUUGCUGGACAUCCAUUGGCUCAAAAUGAAAGGUGUCUACAUAUGUUUCUUCAGGAACCACAAAUUGAUAAGAAUUAUGUUCCUGGAAAGAUCCGCAACACAUAAGAAAUGGUGAAGGUGAAGUUAUAGUUACGUCCUUUCUACUUUAUAUUAUCAGUUACCCAGGAUCCUUGGGCCUCAUGAAAUUUCCAUCUAUAAUUGGCAUGAAAUUUCUCUGACAGUGAACCAUCCUGUAGGUGUACAUAUUUCUACUUUUUGAUGAUACAAAGACUCUUUAAGUUUACAAUAAAAGUAUCGCCAUGAUCUGAAUUAUUGCAAAGAAAAUUAUUUUCUGCCAAAUGUCGGUGAAUGCUAAAAUAGCUAAAUGCCUUUUUAAUAAUGUAAAAACUAUUUGUCAUUUUCUACAAAUGUCUUGUUUCGAUUUUAUUUUGUAUAAUGAAGUAGGUUAUCUAUGUAUAGUUAUUGCCAGUUAUGUAUUUACCCAAAUAAAUUUAUUUAUAUGCA